rnacentral:misc_RNA from 1 species
AACAUCGCGCACCUGCGGGAACCUGCGGAGGGAUCAUUACAGAGUUGCAAAACUCCCUAAACCAUUGUGAACGUUACCUAAACCGUUGCUUCGGCGGGCGGCCCGGGUCCUUCCCGGCGCCCCUCGGCCCUCGCGGGCGCCCGCCGGAGGUAAACCAAACUAUUGCAUUGUAUGGCCUCUCUGAGUCUUCUGUACUGAAUAAGUCAAAACUUUUAGCAACGGAUCUCAGAUCGGAAGAGC